GAGUUUAGUGGCGGACGGGUGAGUAAUGCAUGGGUAACGUACCCCAGGCACAGGGAUAGCGGUGCGAAAGCGCCGGUAAUACCUGGUGAUAUCCGGGAGUCGCAUGGCUUCUGGAUCAUAGGUGGGGACCUUCGGGCCUACUGGCCUGGGAUCGGCCCAUGUCCUAUCAGCUUGUUGGUGGGGUAAUGGCCUACCAAGGCGAAGACGGGUAGCCGGCGUGAGAGCGCGACCGGCCACAUCGGGACUGAGACACUGCCCGGACACCUACGGGUGGCUGCAGCAACGAAUAUUCCGCAAUGGGCGCAAGCCUGACGGAGCGACGCCGCGUGGAGGAUGAAGUCUUUCGGGAUGUAAACUUCAAUAGUUUGUCAGGAAGCAAAGGGACCUAAUACGUCCCGGCGUUGACCAGCGAACGAAAGGGGCGGCUAACUCCGUGCCAGCAGCCGCGGUAAGACGGAGGCCCCUAGCGUUGUUCGGAAUCACUGGGCUUAAAGAGGGUGUAGGCGGAGCAGCAAGUACUUUGUGAAAGCCCCGGGCUCAACCCGGGAAUUGCUUGGUAUACUGUUGCUCUUGAGGCAGGUAGGGGUCACUGGAACCUUAGGUGGAGCGGUGAAAUGCGUAGAUAUCUAAGGGAACGCCUGUGGCGAAAGCGGGUGACUGGGCCUGUCCUGACGCUGAGACCCGAAAGCGUAGGGAGCAAAGCAGGAUUAGAUACCCUGGUAGUCUACGCCGUAAACGAUGCGCACUAGGUUCGAGAGCUACUGACGGCCCUCGUGCCGAAGCAAAAGUACUAAGUGCGCCGCCUGGGGAGUACGGCCGCAAGGCUAAAACUCAAAGGGAAUUGACCGGGGGCUCACACAAGCGGUGGAGCAUGUGGAUCAAUUCGAAGCACGCGAAGAACUUACUGGGUUUGACAUGCACGGAUGCCCUUCUGGAAACAGGAGUAAGCUGCCUUCGGGUGAAACGUGCACAGGUGCUGCAUGGCUGUCGUCAGCUCGUGCUGUGAAGUGUCGGGUUUAANGUCCCUUAACGAGCGAAACCCUUGUCGCUAGUUUGCCAGCGGGUCAUGCCGGGGAACUUCUAGCGAGACUGCCGGCGUUAAGCCGGAGGAAGGUGGGGAUGACGUCAAGUCAUCAUGCCUUUAUGCCCAGGUGUCACACGUGCUACAAUGGGGCGUACAGAGCGACGCAAGACCGUGAGGUGGAGCAAAUCGCAGAAAGCGUCCCUCAGUUCGGAUCGGGGUCUGCAACUCGACCCCGUGAAGCUGGAAUCGCUAGUAAUCGCGUAUCAGCCAUGACGCGGUGAUAUGUUCCUGAGCGUUGUACACACCGCCCGUCAAGUCAUGAAGCUGGGAGUUCCCGAA
rnacentral:rRNA from 1 species